rnacentral:lncRNA from 1 species
GCAAGUUUAAAUACAACAAUACAAUGAUAUAUCAUGAUUGAAGAGUAUGAAUAAUAAUCUGGCUAUAAUUCAUCAAUAUAAUUGAGAACUAGCACGAACAAACUUUUGACUGAACAAGUUUUAAACAUGAACAAACAUUUCUGGACAAACCGGUAAUGAAGGUGAUCAGCCUUUCAUACCUGACUUAUACAUGCAAGAUGUACAGAGUACAAUUUUCAUGGCAAUCAGCAAUGAUUAACCAUAAGCUUGAAUAAAACACUCUUAUUAGAGUUAAGUAAG